rnacentral:rRNA from 1 species
UAUACAUGCAGUCGUACGACUUGUUAUCUUGUCAACGGAGCUUGCUCCACCGAAAGAAAAAGAGUGGCGAACGGGUGAGUAACACGUGGGUAACCUGCCCAUCAGAAGGGGAUAACACUUGGAAACAGGUGCUAAUACCGUAUAACACUAUUUUCCGCAUGGAAGAAAGUUGAAAGGCGCUUUUGCGUCACUGAUGGAUGGACCCGCGGUGCAUUAGCUAGUUGGUGAGGUAACGGCUCACCAAGGCAACGAUGCAUAGCCGACCUGAGAGGGUGAUCGGCCACACUGGGACUGAGACACGGCCCAGACUCCUACGGGAGGCAGCAGUAGGGAAUCUUCGGCAAUGGACGAAAGUCUGACCGAGCAACGCCGCGUGAGUGAAGAAGGUUUUCGGAUCGUAAAACUCUGUUGUUAGAGAAGAACAAGGAUGAGAGUAAAAUGUUCAUCCCUUGACGGUAUCUAACCAGAAAGCCACGGCUAACUACGUGCCAGCAGCCGCGGUAAUACGUAGGUGGCAAGCGUUGUCCGGAUUUAUUGGGCGUAAAGCGAGCGCAGGCGGUUUCUUAAGUCUGAUGUGAAAGCCCCCGGCUCAACCGGGGAGGGUCAUUGGAAACUGGGAGACUUGAGUGCAGAAGAGGAGAGUGGAAUUCCAUGUGUAGCGGUGAAAUGCGUAGAUAUAUGGAGGAACACCAGUGGCGAAGGCGGCUCUCUGGUCUGUAACUGACGCUGAGGCUCGAAAGCGUGGGGAGCGAACAGGAUUAGAUACCCUGGUAGUCCACGCCGUAAACGAUGAGUGCUAAGUGUUGGAGGGUUUCCGCCCUUCAGUGCUGCAGCAAACGCAUUAAGCACUCCGCCUGGGGAGUACGACCGCAAGGUUGAAACUCAAAGGAAUUGACGGGGGCCCGCACAAGCGGUGGAGCAUGUGGUUUAAUUCGAAGCAACGCGAAGAACCUUACCAGGUCUUGACAUCCUUUGACCACUCUAGAGAUAG